CUGUAAGCCUGUGAAGGUGUACUGUGAGGUAUGCUGGAGGUAUCAGAAGUGCGAAUGCUGACAUAAGUAACGAUAAAGCGGGUGAAAAGCCCGCUCGCCGGAAGACCAAGGGUUCCUGUCCAACGUUAAUCGGGGCAGGGUGAGUCGACCCCUAAGGCGAGGCCGAAAGGCGUAGUCGAUGGGAAACAGGUUAAUAUUCCUGUACUUGGUGUUACUGCGAAGGGGGGACGGAGAAGGCUAUGUUGGCCGGGCGACGGUUGUCCCGGUUUAAGCGUGUAGGCUGGUUUUCCAGGCAAAUCCGGAAAAUCAAGGCUGAGGCGUGAUGACGAGGCACUACGGUGCUGAAGCAACAAAUGCCCUGCUUCCAGGAAAAGCCUCUAAGCAUCAGGUAACAUCAAAUCGUACCCCAAACCGACACAGGUGGUCAGGUAGAGAAUACCAAGGCGCUUGAGAGAACUCGGGUGAAGGAACUAGGCAAAAUGGUGCCGUAACUUCGGGAGAAGGCACGCUGAUAUGUAGGUGAAGCGACUUGCUCGUGGAGCUGAAAUCAGUCGAAGAUACCAGCUGGCUGCAACUGUUUAUUAAAAACACAGCACUGUGCAAACACGAAAGUGGACGUAUACGGUGUGACGCCUGCCCGGUGCCGGAA
rnacentral:rRNA from 1 species